AAGUCGGACACUUAACUGACUGAGCCACCCAGGUGGUCCUGGCUAGGUUUUCUUCAGAUAAUCUUUUUGGAGAUAGCAAUUUCAUUUGGUAAAAGUUUAUGCUGUGACUUGGAAUCUUCUGAGCAUAGGCCAUGGGAACCUGAAUGUUUGUUACUUGCUUCCUUGGGGGGCUCCUAGAUUCUCACCCUCACCUCCCCUCCUCUGUGAUGACCCCAGAGCCAUACCUCCAGCUGCCUAUGGCUGGACUCCACUGCAACACUUUUCGGUGUUCACAAGAUGUGGCACCCAGCCAGGUGUAGCUGUUCCUUUGAACCCUGAACAUACAAUCCAAACCAGUUGACUUCCAUGCCUAGCUAACCCUUCCCGGAAUUUUCCCAUUUCUUUGUCACCAUCAUGCCCCAGCCAGAUCUGUGAUUCUUCCUUCCUGUCGCUGAGCCUGCUGACCCUUCUUGCACAGUGUCUCCCUGAGGCACCCCUUUCCCAUGGCACAGGUGCCACUUUGACUCCUGUACAACACUUCUGACUCAUUCCCCAGCCUUGAUGCCUGGUCCCCCUCUCCGGUCGCCGUGCCCACUGCCGCCACCACAGGAAAACUAGCACGGCCAUUGCUCUGCAUACACUGCCUCCCCUCUGCAUCGCAGCCCCUCUUCCCUGGUGCAGACCCCCCUCUGCCAGCUCCGCACUAUCAUUAAUCCUCGGCUGGGUCCUCAGCCAUUCGGUCUUCUUCCCGUCUGCUCAAACCCCACCCCUUUCCUGGGCCCAACCGGUCAAGGCCGAGUCAGACAGACCUCACUGGUGGUCUUCACCACCACUCCCAGCUGCGUGUCCCUGGUCAAGCCAUAUGCUCUCCCUGAGCCUUAGUUUCCUCACAGUCACCUGUGGAGACUGGUGCCUGCCCAGUGGGUGUGGUGUUAGGAAGAAGGGCCGUAGGCCAAGGCACAGUGCCCGGCAUGGCCUGGGCCCCCGACCCUGCACCUUUGAGAAGCUUCUGCUUUCCUCACCAUGCUUAUUUCUUCUCCACUUGAUACUUUGGUGGACACAUUACACACUGGAUUCUUCUCUUUAAAUAGUUUUUUUGGCUUAUGGGUGCACACACUGCCUCAUCCAAGGAGUGAGACCGUGCACUCCAUAGGCAGCCUUGGGUCUUUUCCUGAGCUCUGUUCUAUGCCUGUCGUUGUCUAACAUGUCCAACGUCACCCACAAAAACAUGCCCCGUUUUGUGGACCGAAGUGCCCUGUGGGAACACAGGACGCCAUAGAUGCAAUUUCCCCUUAACUGGCUGGCUCGGGUUCAUGAGGCCUGCCCCUCUCACCCUGUCUAUACAAGCGACAAGAGCCAACCUUGAAAACUGGGCACCAACAGCGGCAGAGCGGACCGAGUCCCAGGUUGUUUUCUCCUCGCCUUCGAUGUCAGCGUGACACGCGCUCUCAUGCCAACGGCAGGCUCACGGCUCACCUCCCCCAACACCGACUUCUGCCCAACCCCAGAAGAAGACGGAGGGUGGGCACACUGCCAGCCGCUCUCCACCAGGUCUGCACGGCCACCGGGCCUGCCUGGGCUGCCUAACCCACUGAGAAGCAUCGCCACAAGGUUGACAUUUCAUUCCCCUCUCGCUUCCCUCCCCAGCCUUUAAAUGAGAGAGAAAAAAAAAAAAACCACCCUAAAAAUGAAAGCAUUUGUGGUAUCUCCGUUCCUCUACCCCUGCUGCUGAUUCAAGGGGCUGCCUGCCUAAUGAGAAGAAGGCAGUGCGACGAAACACAGGGCUCGUGGCAGAGGCGCCAGUCUCCUUCAGAGACGCUGGUCUCCAAAGGCAACAUCUGGGUCCGGUCACCGAAGACAGAUGGGCUCCCUCUACUUCGUCCCCCAUCCCCGCGGGACCUCUGCCGGAGGCGCGGCAUGCUAUUUGAAUGCAAUGAUAUGCUGACUAAAUCGUUCCUGCACGGUGCGCGCCGAGUGCAUUCCUACUGUUAGAACCUAUUCUGUAUCUGUACCGGCCUCCUCAUUACGGAUGGCUUUCUCUAUCUCAAAACAUUCCUGGGAUUUCCAGAUGCUGCCAUUGAACAAAUUCUCAUUAUUUUGCUUCUGUUCCUUUAUACAGCCAAAUGGUCCUCCUCUGACAUUGCAGGGGGCCAAUUUCGUAAAAAUAAUCACUUUUGCUACUGUGGUUAUUAACCAAUAAACGGUUGAGAAUCAA